rnacentral:tRNA from 1 species
GGGGCUGGAGCUCAGUGGUAGAGCACUCGCCUAGCAUGUGCGAGAGGCUGGGUUCGAUCCUCAGCACCA